rnacentral:rRNA from 1 species
AUGACUACCUGCUUCUCAGAUCUUAUUAAAGAUCAUUCCCUAGAUUUUAUAGGCCUUCAAGAAACUAUGAAAAAGAAAUUCCCUUCUAUGUUCCUUAGGAAAAGUGAUCCCUUCGACAGAUUUGAAUGGAAUUGGGUUCCUUCUGUUGGAAAAUCAGGUGGUAUCCUGUGUGGAGUGAAAAAAGAGACCCUUGAAAUCAUCUCCUAGGUAGUUGGUAAUUUCCUUGUACAAGUUAACGUUUUAUGAUGUGAAGCAUAAUGUGUUCGGGCUCUCAUAGUGGUCUAUGGAGCAGCCCAAGAUGAGAGAAAAGAUGAGUUUUUGUCAGAACUAGUUUCUGUUUGCUUCCAACUUCAUGUCCCCUAUAUAGUGGGCGGAGAUUUUAAUAUUCUCCAUGAUAGUGGAGAGAAAAACAAAAAUAUGGCUCACUCCCAUUACAUAGAGAAAUUCAAUUCUGUUAUCCAGACUUUGAAAUUGAGAGAGAUCCAUAUGGGAGGGGGGAAAUACACCUGGACUAAUAAGCAGAAACAUCCCACCCUGGAAAAAUUGGAUAGAAUCCUUAUGCAUUUCGAUUGGGAAGACCUGUUACCUUUGGUCACAGUCCGCAAACUGGCGAGGGACGUCUCGGGCCAUAAUCCGUUGCUCUUAACCUCGGGUCCCGAGAAAACAGGCCCUUCCCACCAACGUGAAUUCAGGUUUGAGCUGACCUGGUUAAAAAAUGAGGAGUUUUACAUCAAAGCAAAAAAGAUCUGGGAGCAGCUUGUUUUCGCCGACGAUCCUAUUGAUGUUCUCAACAUAAAAAUCAAACGUAUUAAGAAGUAUUUCAAAGGAUGGGGUUCCCAUUCCUUUGGACAUGCCAAGAAGAGAAAAGGUGCAUUAAAGAGGAGCUAG